rnacentral:rRNA from 1 species
GAUGAACGCUGGCGGCGUGCCUAACACAUGCAAGUCGAGCGCGGUCCCUUUGGUGCUUGCACCAAAGACGACUGAGCGGCGACGGGUGAGUAACGCGUGAGGAACCUGCCUUUCAGUGGGGGACAACAGUUGGAAACGACUGCUAAUACCGCAUAACAUAUCGGGACCGCAUGUUUCUGAUAUCAAAGCUUUAUGUGCUGAAAGAUGGCCUCGCGUCUGAUUAGCUAGUUGGAGGGGUAACGGCCCACCAAGGCGACGAUCAGUAGCCGGUCUGAGAGGAUGAACGGCCACAUUGGGACUGAGAUACGGCCCAG